UGCAGCAGGCGCGAAACCUUUACACUGCACGACAGUGCGAUAGGGGGACUCCGAGUGUGAGGGCAUAUAGCCCUCGCUUUUCUGUACCGUAAGGUGGUACAGGAACAAGGACUGGGCAAGACCGGUGCCAGCCGCCGCGGUAAUACCGGCAGUCCGAGUGAUGGCCGAUAUUAUUGGGCCUAAAGCGUCCGUAGCUUGCUGUGUAAGUCCAUUGGGAAAUCGACCAGCUCAACUGGUCGGCGUCCGGUGGAAACUACACAGCUUGGGGCCGAGAGACUCAACGGGUACGUCCGGGGUAGGAGUGAAAUCCCGUAAUCCUGGACGGACCACCAAUGGGGAAACCACGUUGAGAGACCGGACCCGACAGUGACGCCCGAAGGCACGGUCGC
rnacentral:rRNA from 1 species